rnacentral:RNase_P_RNA from 1 species
CAGGUGAUCGCAGGUAGAAAUACGUGAGGAAAGUCGGAGCUCCAUAGAGCAGGGUGCUAGGUAACGCCUAGUGAGAGCGAUCUUAAGGAUAGUGCAACAGAAAUAAACCGCCCUUAUAGGGUAAGGAUGGAAAGGCGAGGUAAGAGCUCACCAGCAUAUAGGUGACUAUAUGGCUAUGUAAACCCCACCUGGUGCAAGGCCAAGAUAGGAAUAAGAGAUGUUGCUCGCAUCUCCCGGUAGGUAGGCCGCUUGAGCCUAUUGGUGACAAUAGGCCUAGAAAGAUGAUCAUCAAAUACAGAACUCCGCUUAUAGCUAUACUU